GAAUAAACCAUCGUGAGGCACUGAGGGCUGGGGCUGCCCUGCCAGGCUCUGCCAGGGGUCCCAGCUACGUCUCUGUGCCCCUGUGCCAGCAGUGCUGGCUUCAGGCGUUCUGUAUUUCCCUCCACUAUUCAGUCUGGAUUCGUUUUUUGCUCUUUGCUUUCCAUCUUAUUCCAAACAUAGCAUAGCAGCCCACCCUGUCCUAUUUACUUACUUAUCCUGAUAAUUUAUAAUAUAAAAUAAGCUUAUUCAUAAUAAUAUUCAUUAAUAAUAGGAUAUACAUAUAGUAUAUUGUUAUAUAUUAUAUAAACUAUACUAUAUAGUAUAUAUUAUUCAUUAAUAAUAGGACAUAUUUAUCUGUUACUGCUGUUUACAUAUAGUAGAAAAUGACUAUUUUCAAUUUCUGAGUGCUGGUGUAUGUGUACAGCAGGUGCACACCUUUCAGUCAUUAAGUAAUAAUUUUAACUAAUUAAUUUAUAUGUAGUUGGAUAAUUUGCUCAUGCCUAAUGAGAACUAAAUAGCUUUUGAUAAUGUAGUUGCUUUUUAAACUAAGAGCUAAAACAAUCAAUAAAUAAUCAAAUAAUAAAUCUUAAAGUGAUCAAUUUAGGGUAAGAUAUCAAUAGAGGCUUUUUCACUUUUCGUUAGCACCUGCUUUAGGAGGAAGGAUUAAUGGGAAGGUCUAUAAAUUGCCCCAAAGCUGUCUGGAGCCCUUUGUUCUCUUUGCCCAGCCAGGUUAUUUGGGGUUGCAGUGAAAGGACUGGGGCUGGCACUCAGGAGACCUGGACUCUGCUCUGUUUGUUCUGCUUGCUAAAGAGUCUGAGUCUGUUACCCCAUCCCCGUUCCUGGUAUCUUUUUUUAUGCACAGGGCGACCUCUGGAUCCUGUUUGGAGGAGCCCAGGUGGAAGUGCUUACCUGCAGAGCAUGGUCAAGACAUCUGGGAUCGCAGAGAGAUACAGAGAAUUCCAGCCUGGUCACUGUGCAGGCUUUGGAACACAGUUUGAAUUCAAGUAAGUACUUCAUGAAGUAGUAAGUGUAUAAUGAACUGUUUUAGCUAAAUUGUAAAUACAGAUCUGGAUGCCACAGGCUCUAUUUCUCUGAUUGCUUAAUAUGAAGCACAAGUGCCAGCGUGGAGGACAAGUGACUUAGAUUAAGAUAAUGCUGCGAUGUCAGAUGAUUACCCCUUAGCCCAAAUUUCCCUGGGAUGAAAAGAAAAGCCUUCCCAGCAGAGUGUACAACACUAUUUGAUCAUUCCCAUCAUAGGAUGGUUCUUACACACCUUCCUCUGCCCUACUUGUUUUGCUUCUCUGGAAGAAGGAAGCAAAAUUUUCAUUAUUUUACCUUCUUGGAUUUUAAGAAGGGAAGGAAAGGGGGCAGUAAAUCAUGGCAGACAAGUAGCUGAACUUGAAAAGUUUAUUUUAUAUUUGGGUGGGAAUUUCUCAGCUGUUUUUCCCAUGGAGUCCUUCCUUUUCAUGUUCUGAUGAAGAGUUCUGAUUGAGUUCUAAUUUCUGCUGUUUCCAUCAGGCACAAGUGUAGAACACAAAGGAGGACAAGCAGCAGGAGCCCUGACUACUUCCACGAAGCACAGGGUUUGGAGAGCAGCAGAGCCCUCUAGAUGAAACCUCUCCUGGUGCAGCCUGUACCUGUUCCCCUUCAUCUUCUGCCCGGGGCUCCCGUGAAGAGCGAGCCUCCAGCCAGAGGUCAGGGUCCAUCCCAAAUCCCAAGCCACCAGCCAGCCCAUCCAGCUUUAAUCAAUACCAAACCAGGGAGUGUUUGUUUUUCACAGAUCUCAAGGCUGGAGGAAAAGCAGCGGCCAGUGAUGGGAAAAAUAAAGGGGACAAGGAACAAUUUCAAACCAGCUCUGCUGCACUUUAUACUGAGGCAUAUUUGAAAGA